GGGGAAACCCUUGCUGUGUCUGAUUCUUACGGGGCUCUGGUGUGAGGAGCAAUAACUGAAGUUAGGCCUUUCCACAAAGGAGCAGAGCUGGAUGUGGCUGAGGAGGGGGUGCCUUCUCCCAUGGGAUGCUGUGUACUUGUCUCUUGCAAAGUGGGUCACUGAUGUUUUCAGGUUUAUGAAGCUUUCUGCAGCAAGAAUUGAAACUGACAGAUUCCAAAUUAGAUCAAAACUUCUAGGAUUCAUUUGUGAUUUCUAAUAUGUCUUCAAGUUACUUCUGAUUAACACUAAGAAAUCAUAAUUUUUUAUUUUGUGUCUAAAACACAGUAGGAAUAUUAUUUGAGGGUACUUUUUGAAAAAAGUUACAAUUAGUGUCCUUCGUUUGUUAUUACAGGACACAGGCCAUUUGGGGAAAGAAAGGAAAAAAUAUUUUUGUCAAAGCUUUGAAAAAUGCAUGGCUUUUUCAGUGCUUCCUGGGGUUUCUCUUAUCCAAGUACUAGUUUGGUGUCAAUGUUUGCUGGAAGAGAAACUGAUUGCUCUCUGCAUCUCAGCUCCAUUUUUCUUAUUGUGCUAAGGCCCAUAAAGCAGAAAAGUAGUUGAAAAAUGAUAGCCUAAGUAAGUUCUGUGUGUGUACUUGAGAGCACUGGUUACCCUUCCUCCUCCAUGCCUCUUUACUCUGCUGUUAGUGGAUUGGAUGGAAGCAGAAGGCUUUGUUUCACGGAGGCAGACUGGCCGAAAGCUCCUCUUGGUGCUGUUGCUGGCUCAGGAUGCAGCCUCUGCUGGCCUGUGAGCUGCUGAGAUCACCACAGCAGCUGACUGCUGGGUGAUCAGCAUACUUUACUUAGACUGGUGCAUCCAUAGGCUGUAAUGUGAUAUAUUAUGAGCAGCUGAACACUUUGGAGCAUAUGAAGAACAAUAAGGAGAGGUUGGAUUUUAUUGCAUUUUGAGCUCUUUCUUUAGAAAGCAAAAGGAAUACUGAGGUCUUCUUUUAUUUGUGUGAUCCUGAGGCAGAGUAUCACAAGUUACAAAGAAUGAUUGAAGUAGACAAUGUUUGUGCUGUUAACAGUGUUUGAAAUAUUUCCUGUCAUGGGAAACAUGAACAAGUCAAAUUGGCAUCACCUUUCUUUUCUGAGACCUGGGGAAUACCUUAUGCAAGCACUACUGAUGAGCUUCAUAACCACCUGUCUAAAUUAUUUUCCUCAUUUAUCUGCUGUUUCUGUUUGUAGCCUUUAUUGUAGGAAAACCCACACAUGAAGAAAGGAAGAAAGAAGUAAAUGGAAAACAAACCAGAGUCAUGUCCAUUAAAUUAUCCUGGGGAAAUGCUGGCCUGCCUUCUUCAACUAUUCAGACCUGCUGCAGAAUAUGCAAGGCAGGUUCUCUGGUGAGCAGUAAUUCUGGGGUCUGGUAGUGCUCUCCCUCAAGAGCUGUCAGUCUUCAGGCAGCCUGUUACUUUGUGCUCCUUCCACACAGGAGCAGACAAACUCAUGAAUGAAACAUUACCUAUACUAAAGAGAACUCCUGUCAUCCACCUCAGCAGAAGAAACUGACUUACCAUUCAUUGAAGACAUCUGCACUUAUACAGGGAAUGCAUGCUCACAUGACGGUGCCAAGCCAAGGCUGCCAUUGGAGAAGAGGGACAGAAAAGGGAAAGGAAAAGGGGGUGGAGGAGAAGGAGGAGGAGAGGAGAAGGAUGAGAAGGAAAAGAGGAAGAGGUGAGGGAGAUGUUCCCCUGCUACAUACAGAUGCUGCACUGCCUGCCAAAACAGCCCAGCCUGUGGGUUGCCCUGAGAGUGCCUGCUUAGCCAUCCUUGGAGGAACUGCCACCUGACCUCCUCCAGCUGGGCUCCGUUUUAACCCUAAACCUAAAAAACUUUUGCAGUCUGAAAAUACUGUUUUUUUUUUUUUUUUUUUAAUUAUUAUUAUUAUAGAUAUGAUAUUACUCAAAAUAGACCUAUAGACCUGCAUGUGCAAGUUUUAAAUGUUUCAUUUCAAACACAAGUACACCAUAAAUGCAGUUGGAGUGGAUCUUGUCUUGCA